rnacentral:ribozyme from 14 species
UGGUAAAAAACACAUAAGAAAGAAAAAAAAAACUGUCGCCCAAGAUUCACAAUCUCUUUCUCCUUGUUGUUCUUGCCCACUCUUCUUCUUUGACUCCUU